rnacentral:rRNA from 1 species
GCAACCUUAAGUGGGUGGUAAACUCCAUYUAAGGCUAAAWAWAACCACGAGACCGAWAGUAAACAAGUMCCGUGAGGGAAAGUUGAAAAGAACUUUGAAGAGAGAGUUCAAAAGUACGUGAAACCGUUUAGGGGUAAACGGAAAAGAACUGAAAAUCCGAAAAGGGAGAUUCACGUCUUCUCAUUAGAUAGCAUAAUUAUAAUUUAGGAUAACUAAUGGGCUAUACAAUUUAUUGUAUUAGUACUAUUAAUUACCUAAUUAUAUUAUGACUAGCUGUGGUGGACCGCACUUCUCUCUAAGUAGGACGUCGUGACUCGCUAGUUUUAUAUAUAAAAUUCAAAAUCAUACUUUAUUUAGACUUGUUAUAUAUAUUUUUUUUAUAAAAUUAUAUAACAAAUGGUAUGUGUUUUUGAUAAUAUUAACUGGCGGUAUAAAACGACAAUGAGAGUCGCUUUUUUUUUUUUUARGGCGUAUARNNCNNUANUNUUUUUNNUAGUAUUAC